rnacentral:rRNA from 1 species
UACAGAGGUCUCAAGCGUUGUUCGGAUUCAUUGGGCGUAAAGGGUGUGUAGGUGGCGCCGUAAGUCGGGUGUGAAAUUUCGGAGCUUAACUCCGAAACUGCAUUCGAUACUGCGGUGCUUGAGGACUGGAGAGGAGACUGGAAUUCAUGGUGUAGCAGUGAAAUGCGUAGAGAUCAUGAGGAAGACCAAUGGCGAAAGCAGCUCUCUGGGACGGUACUGACGCUGAGACGCGAAAGCGUGGGGAGCGAACAGG